GUGUCAGCAGCCGCGGUAAUACGAAGGUGGCAAGCGUUGUUCGGAUUCACUGGGCGUACAGGGUGUGUAGGCGGUUUGGUAAGCCUUCUGUUAAAGCUUCGGGCCCAACCCGGAAAGCGCAGAGGGUACUGCCAGGCUAGAGGGUGGGAGAGGAGCGCGGAAUUCCCGGUGUAGCGGUGAAAUGCGUAGAGAUCGGGAGGAAGGCCGGUGGCGAAGGCGGCGCUCUGGAACAUACCUGACGCUGAGACACGAAAGCGUGGGGAGCAAACAGGAUUAGAUACCCUGGUAGUCCACGCCCUAAACUAUGGAUACUAAGUGUCGGCGGGUUACCGCCGGUGCCGCAGCUAACGCAUUAAGUAUCCCGCCUGGGAAGUACGGCCGCAAGGUUGAA
rnacentral:rRNA from 1 species